GAAGGACAUAUUUAGAUUGUUGCGACUGUAGUAAAUCUUAUGGUCAUAUUUGGGGUGAAAGAGAUGCUCGAAGAAGGUUGACAAAAUUAGAAGUAAAUUUCACUGCAAAAAAUGUGAUCGUCUUGAAGAUUUUAGUUUAUGAUGAUGAUGGCCAAAUAAUGAAUGAAGCUAGAAAUGUGGUGUAUAAAGAAGUUUCCCAUAAUUUGGUUUGAGAUGGAUCUAGACAUGAUCGAAUUAUCAGGUAUUUACAAUAUCUUUUUCUAAUUUUUAUAAUUGCUUUAGCUUUUGAGUAAAUAUUACUGUUUGCACAAUUUGGUAUUAGAAAAGGAUUGAUUUAUGAAAUAACCCUUUGGCUUCGUCUGUGUCUUCAGUUAGGGUAGGCUGAUGUUUUGUUAUUUUUCUUUUAUUGCAGAUGAAGUUGUAUUUUCAUACAACAAUGCUUAUUUCAUGGCCUAUUUAGUAAUGGUGUUACUGGGUUGUUGUUGUUGUUGUUUCAAGUUUGAACACCAAGAAUUCCUAACUUAGCGAAUGACCAAGGACCAAAGAAAGUUAAACUGAC
rnacentral:lncRNA from 1 species